rnacentral:rRNA from 1 species
GACGAACGCUGGCGGCGUGCUUGACACAUGCAAGUCGAACGGAAAGGCCUGCUUUCCCUUGUGGAUUGCGGGUACUCGAGUGGCGAACGGGUGAGUAACACGUGAGUGAUCUGCCCCCAACUUGGGUAUAAGCCUGGGAAACUGGGUCUAAUUCCCGAUAGGACUGCAGGGUGGUGCCUGUGGUGGAAAACGAUUUUCUAGUGGUUGGGGAUGAGCUCGCGGCCUAUCAGCUUGUUGGUGGGGUAAUGGCCUACCAAGGCGGCGACGGGUAGCCGGCCUGAGAGGGUGGACGGCCACAUUGGGACUGAGAUACGGCCCAGAAUCCGACGGGAGGCAGCAGUGGGGAAUAUUGCACAAUGGGCGGAAGCCUGAUGCAGCGACGCCGCGUGGGGGAUGACGGCCUUCGGGUUGUAAACUCCUUUCGACCGCGAGGAAGCCACCUGGUUGGAAGGGUGGUGACGGUAGUGGUAGAAGAAGCACCGGCUAACUACGUG